rnacentral:rRNA from 1 species
CCUACGGGAGGCUGCAGUGGGGAAUAUUGGACAAUGGGGGGAACCCUGAUCCAGCCAUGCCGCGUGUGUGAAGAAGGCCCUCGGGUUGUAAAGCACUUUCAGUGAGGAAGAACGCCUGGUGGUUAAUACCCAUCAGGAAAGACAUCACUCACAGAAGAAGCACCGGCUAACUCCGUGCCAGCAGCCGCGGUAAUACGGAGGGUGCGAGCGUUAAUCGGAAUUACUGGGCGUAAAGCGCGCGUAGGUGGCUUGAUAAGCCGGUUGUGAAAGCCCCGGGCUCAACCUGGGAACGGCAUCCGGAACUGUCAAGCUAGAGUGCAGGAGAGGAAGGUAGAAUUCCCGGUGUAGCGGUGAAAUGCGUAGAGAUCGGGAGGAAUACCAGUGGCGAAGGCGGCCUUCUGGACUGACACUGACGCUGAGGUGCGAAAGCGUGGGUAGCAAACAGGAUUAGAUACCCUAGUAGUC